AGGCGCAUAGCUUAAUGGUUAAAGUAACCGUUUCCAAAACGGUUGAUGGGAGUUCGAUUCUCUCUGUGCUU
rnacentral:tRNA from 1 species